rnacentral:rRNA from 1 species
GAUUGCAGGCUGCAACUCGCCUGUAUGAAGUUGGAAUUGCUAGUAAUCGCGGAUCAGCAUGCCGCGGUGAAUACGUUCCCGGGCCUUGUACACACCGCCCGUCACACCAUGAGAGCCGGUAAUACCCGAAGUCAGUAUCCUAACCGCAAGGAGGGAGCUGCCGAAGGUAGGAUUGGCGAUUGGGGUGAAGUCGUAACAAGGUAAC